rnacentral:rRNA from 1 species
GACGAACGCUGGCGGCGUGCUUAACACAUGCAAGUCGAACGGUAAGGCCCUUCGGGGUACACGAGUGGCGAACGGGUGGGUAACACGUGGGUGAUCUGCCCUGCACUUCGGGAUAAGCCUGGGAAACUGGGUCUAAUACCGGAUAGGACCACUGCCUGCAUGGGUGGUGGUGGAAGGCUUUUGCGGUGUGGGAUGGGCCCGCGGCCUAUCAGCUUGUUGGUGGGGUGAUGGCCUACCAAGGCGACGACGGGUAGCCGGCCUGAGAGGGUGACCGGCCACACUGGGACUGAGAUACGGCCCAGACUCCUACGGGAGGCAGCAGUGGGGAAUAUUGCACAAUGGGCGCAAGCCUGAUGCAGCGACGCCGCGUGAGGGAUGACGGCCUUCGGGUUGUAAACCUCUUUCAGCACCGACGAAGCGCAAGUGACGGUAGGUGCAGAAGAAGGACCGGCCAACUACGUGCCAGCCGCCGCGGUAA